AAUAAAAAAUGACUCCAAUGCUUUCAAUAAAAUAAGGUGCGACGAAUGUUAUCUUUCGUAUACGCAUGCGCGCUUUUCGACCUGUACAAUACAAUUCGACGUUGCCAUUUAGUACAGGCCCCGUUUUCCAUAAAAUCCCAAUCGUUAUUCUCGCUAUGGCAUCAACCGGGUAUUAUCAGACGGUGGUGAUUCUACUGGCGGCCCAGCUGCUUCUCUGUUAUGGGGCAACUGAUGCUGACCAGGAUACGGGGACCGUUAUCCCGGCCGAAAGUCGCCCAUGCGUGGAUUGCCAUGCAUUUGAGUUUAUGCAGAGAGCACUGCAAGACCUAAAAAAGACUGCUUUCAACCUCGAUGCAAGGACGGAGACGUUGGUUCUGAGGGCAGAGAGGAGGGCACUGUGUGACUGCAUGCCCACCAACUCUCUCCGCUGAACCCCAUUAUUCACCUGUUUUUAUUUGUUUAUUCAUGAAUUUAUUGGUUCGGCCUUAUUCUUUGUGUGUGUGUGUGUGUGUGUGUGUGCAUGUGUGUGCGUGAGCAUUACAUUCCAAGGCUGCUACUUUACCCCAUCAGCCAUUUUCUUCGUUCAACGUUUACAUUUAUGUUGAGUUAUCCGACUUCUGAUGAUUGAGGGUAUUCUUAUUUUUUUACUCCACCGUUGCCAUUGUUGCGAGCCUUGAUAUGAUAGGAGCUUUUGAUUUCUGUAUCGUCCUUCACUCGUUUAUCUGUUUUCCUACCAGAGAUCUCGCUUUGAGAUCCAUUCUGGACUUUUGGUCGUGCAUAGUUUGUCCAUAAAGGUUUAUGACAUUUGUACACUUAAAAAAAAAGUAGCACCAACUGUCAAAAAGUCUGUGUCAUUUCUUAACCCACUUUAGCUUUGUUGAUUAAUUUAUAAAUUAUAGUUACAUGAUUAUUGAAUAAGAUGGAUUGAAAUAAAAGUUUUUUUUUCAAUACUCACCAACUUAUUCUUUAGUCGCUCAGGGUCUUCUUGAGGACUAUGUUAUUGUUAAGGUGAAUAGAAAUGUGUAGCUUUUUAGCUUUCACUUGGAGCCAUAGUAUUUCUUUACCAAGGCUUCUUGGCUGACCCCCCCCCCCUCCCCCCCUUAGACUAAACUUUUAACACAACGCUAAAUGAAUGUGUUCACUUUACAAAGAAUGUAGAUCUUUGCAUUAAGAAAAAAACAUCCCCAAGUAUAGGCUUUGUUCACAAAACGUUGUUUAUCUACAAAGAAAGAAACCUGUUGAUCUCUGUUCAGCAUGAAACUGUAGCAUGUAUUUUAGAGCACUUUUCUUCCUCAUCUACUGAAUGUAAAUAUAGACUUUAUGCAUAUAAACGUUGUUGGAAACGGAAACUAUUUGGAAAAUGAACUUAAAUAAAAUGUUUUAUGUCAUGUC